AUGUCCCCAAGUAUUCCCAGUCAUGGUGGCCCCAAUGUCCCCUCAAUGUCCCCUCUGUGGUGGCCUCAAUGUCCCCUCAAUGAUCCUGGUGGUGGCCUUGAUGUCCCCNCCAGCUCCACCAAGAUCCCUCCUGGCUCCACCAGGCCCCACUUGGAUCUACCAGAUCCCACCUGGCUCCACCAGAUCCCACCUGGACCUUCCAGAUUUCACACAGAUUCUUCAGAUCCCACCCGGAUCCUCCAGAUCCUUCCUGGAUCCUCCAGAUCUCACACAGAUCGUCCAGACUCCACCAGGAUCCACCAGAUCCCUCCUGGCUCCACCAGAUCCCACCUGGACCUUCCAGACUCUAUCAGGAUCCACCAGCUCUCUCCUGGAUCCACCAGAUCUCACACAGAUCCUCCAGACUCCAUCAGGAUCCUCCAGAUCCCUCCUGGAUCAUCCAGAUCCCACCUGGACCUUCCAGACUCCACCAGGAUCCUCCUGGACCUUCCAGAUUUCACCCAGAUCCUCCAGAUCCCACCUGGAUCCUCCAGAUCCCGUCUGGACCUUCCAGAUCUCACAUGGAUUCUUCAGAUCCCUCCUGGAUCCCCCAGAGGUCACACAGAUGCUCCAGACUCCAUCAGGAUCCUCAUGAUCCCUCCUGGCUCCACCAGAUCCCACCUGGACCUUCCAGACUCCAUCAGGAUCCUCCAGAUCCCUCCUGGCUCCACCAGAUCCCUUUUGGAUUCACCAGAUCCCCUCUGGCNGGGAUCCGAUGGGAUCCAUGAGCUGGGAUUGAACCCUGAUCCAGCCCAAACCCAGCCAGGAUCCACCAGGAUUGAACCCAGAGCCCGCAGGGCCGCGGGCAGUGCUGCAGCAACUGAGGGAUCCAAGGGAUCCAAUGGGAUCCAUGAGCUGGGAUCCAGCCCAAAUCCUGCUGGGAUUGAACCCUGAUCCACCAGGACUGAACCCAGAUCCAGCAGAGCCAUGGGCAGUGCUGCAGCAGCUGAGGGAUCCAUGGCAUCU
ensembl:lncRNA